AGCCAGGUCCCUUCUUCCUGCCGUGUCCCCAGGGCAGGACCGCAUCGGAGAGAGUCCGGGAGGAGGCCGCGCUCCUGGGGGCUGGAGACCCGGCGGCGGUGGCCACUGCGCGCUGUUCCAGCCUUGAGGGAGGGAACCGCGGGCCUGGGUCCGCCUUGGGAUUUGGGAACCGGUUUCCUGCCGGGUUGACCUAACUUGAGCCUUCAGUAGUUCCGGGGCGGGUGUUGUGGUCUCCGUUCCAAAGUCGGGAAAACGGUAUCUGGGCUGGCGAAGGGCCGCGAGGGUGGUGGGAGGACCCUGUGGCUGCGCCGAACAGACCGCGGGAACCCACACUGAGUGGGGUGGGACGGGCUGCCACCCCGGCUUUGUCAGCCCCAUGCCCCCUUCUCGCCCUUCAUCCUCUGCUCCCUCACUUAGGCUCCAAUUCCUCCUGAUUUUGUUCUGUUUUUCCCUUCGGGCAUCCAAGGCAGCCACCUGCCCAGGCCUGGGCCUGUUCAAACACUGUCUCCGCUGUACUCCCUAGCUCCUUGAACCCCUACAUUGUCUGCAUUCAGGAAGUUUUGUGGCUUUUUAGGAUUUUUUUUAAACACAGGGUCUGGCUCUGUUGCCCAGGCCGGAGUGCAGUAGUGUGAUCAUAGCUCACUGUAACCUCGAACUCCUGGGCUCCAGCCAUAGGAAGCUUUUAAUAAAACAACCUUUGCUCCGACCGCA